rnacentral:rRNA from 1 species
UACAGAGACUGCGAGCGUUAUUCGGAUUCACUGGGCGUAAAGGGUGCGUAGGUGGUGAGGUAAGUCGGAUGUGAAAGCUCGGAGCUCAACUCCGAAAUGGCAUUGGAAACUACCUUGCUCGAGGGUUGGAGGGGGGACUGGAAUGCUUGGUGUAGCAGUGAAAUGCGUAGAUAUCAGGAGGAACACCGGUGGCGAAGGCGGGUCUCUGGGCAGUAACUGACGCUGAGGAGCGAAAGCGUGGGGAGCGAACAGG